AACCAGCACCUCAAGUGGUCAGGAUGAUUAUUGGGCCUAAAGCAUCCGUAGCCGGCUCUGUAAGUUUUCGGUUAAAUCUGUACGCUCAACGUACAGGCUGCCGGGAAUACUGCAGAGCUAGGGAGUGGGAGAGGUAGACGGUACUCGGUAGGAAGGGGUAAAAUCCUUUGAUCUAUUGAUGACCACCUGUGGCGAAAGCGACUUACUGGGACAGUUCUGACGCUAAGGGACGAAAGCGUGGGGAGCGAACCGG
rnacentral:rRNA from 1 species